AUUGUGUUGAGUUCUGGUUCGAUUUUAAUAAUGGGGUUAAUUAUGCUGAACUAUUUAAGGAACAAUAAGAUUUGUAUUUACUGUAAUAUUUUUAUUUGCCCCUCACUAAGAUGGUCGCCCACACGCCGCCAUCUUGGUGAAGGCGAUGUGUGCAUUUGCGCAUUACGCAUGCGCGUUUUGUCGCUUAAAAGGCUCCAAACAACUCGUUAAAGAGACUUGGUCCAUUGGCCUCUGAAUGUCCUAAACAUAACCUGAAGACACUCGGUUACAUGGCAUUGUCAUGAAAAGUGAUCUAUACAUCGCACGGUGGGAGCCUGUUUAAUCAUUGAGCCAUAGGCAGGUUGCACGGCAGUCGGGUCAGGACCAAUGACCCGUACUGUUGCCACGCAACGCCAACUGGAGUACACGCGGUGAACUGCAGAUGAACCAACAGUCAUCACGCCCAUCGCAGUCACCUGUCAUUCCAAUUCCCUCGACACUAUCUCCUGGACCUCUCUGUCUGUGGCCUCGGCAGGACUUGGGAUCAACACAGAAUUCAACAUUUCUAUAACCAGCCUUUCUAGUUUGGUGAUGCUGCUACAAGCAAGAUUCCAUUACACAUGGAUCUCACCAUACUUGUUCAUUUAUAUAACUAAAAGUCUCAUCUUGACCACUUCCUGUCUGCGCUGUAUAUUGAUUUUAGAAAUAACGCUACUAUAUAUCGCUAUGAUUUUUGGCCAUUUUACUCACAGUCAUCCUCCGCUGAGGCAGCCCUGAGGAGUUUUCCGAUCGAUUAAAAAUGAAAAAGUUAUGAAUAUUUAAAAACUUGUGAUCAGCUGAUUGGUCCUCUUGCCUGUCAAUCACCACGAUGAAGGGGGGCAGGACUAUAAAACCUCGGAUGCCUGGACGUGAGUCAGUCAUGCUGGAAGAUCGCAAGGGAGAGUCCACAACUGUGAUUCUAAGCUGUGAAUCAACUGAACUGUGAGUCUGCAAUGUACUUGCAAUAAAUUAUUUGUUAGCCC